ACCUUGCUAGUGCUCCCGGUGUGUAGGUGUCUGCGCAUGUGUGUGCGAGAGUGUGCGAGGAUGUAUGUGAGUGUAGUAAGAUGCCAGGCAAGGUAACUGCUCAAGCAGAGGCUGGAUGCCAAGUCAGCAUGUGUGUCGGGAGUGAGCCUGGCCUAAGACGCUUCCUUUCCAGUGAACUUGGGAUUCCAAGAAGGUCUAGGAGCUGUCCUAGCCCCUGUCAACAGUCUUGGGAGGCCCAGCCCUGAGGAAAGGAAGAAGGGACUGGGGUGGGGGUGGGGGGGAGCAGCUAGUGGCCCCACCCGGCAGCCUGAGCUCCCUCCCUGGGCCCCCAGAUAGAAGCUUAUCGCGCUGCUCACCCUCACACUUCCUCAGAGUCGUGGAUAGCCAAGUCAUGGAGAGUGGGCCGGCCAGACAUGUUGGCAGGGACAGCUCCCCCACCCCCACCCCCCGGGCAGCGGGUGCUGGAGGAACCUGGAGCCAAGGCCGAGGGGCUGACGGAUGGGUGACCAGGUGAAGCCAGCACUGGACAGCGCUGCCCGCCCGGGGAGGAGGAGGACCUCACCGGUAGCGGUAGCCCGGGCCCCGAGGGCUGAUUUCAGCCGAAUGUUUGGAAGAAUUUCCCCGCUUAGGAGCGCUGCCCCUGAGCGGGCCAGGAGAGCAGCCUCCGGCUGCGGGGCUGGGGGCUGGGGCCCGGCGUGGAAGUUGCCAUCCAGCCGCCGCCGCUGCCUCGGUAUCCUCUACCGUCGCUGCCACCUGGAACACCAGCUCCUCUUCUGGAUCUGAGCUUCGGGGUCAAAUCCAGCUUCCAAAACCCAGGGUUUCCCUGGGCUAGUCACUCGAUCGGUUUGCCUUAGUUGCCUCAACUGUAAAAUGGGAUCGGAAGAGCGCCUCGGGCGCAGGGUUGUUGGGAGGGUCAUUUGAAAUCACCUUCGUAAAAGCAUUGCGCUCAGUGCCAGGCACACCGGAAGUGCCCCGUGCGCGCCUCUUCUCUUCCUCCUGCCCUUGGGUCUCCAGUGAAACCCAGCAUCUUCAGGAAUCCUCCCCAACCCGAGGCAGGCAGGAGGAUGGCGACGGGGCAGACAGCGGCCUGCACUGCUCCCCUACGUGGCCACUUUUCUGCCACUUGCAGGCUCCUUCCCAGAGAAAACAGGAACCCCACAAAAUGGAGCAUCCUGCGGGCUUUGCUGUCAUCGUUCUGUCCGCCAAGAACAGCCCUAGCCCUUCUCUCUCUUCCCCCAGCAUUGAGAAUGUUUUUGUUUUAAUUUUCAGUCCUCAGCUUCCUUUGGUCCCUCUCACCCUCCAUCCUGUCGCAGUUCAUUUGGAGCUAUUGCAGCUCCGAUGUUCUUUUGACAAGACCUGCCCCGCUGAAGGUCAUUUCCUGACCCCACUUCCCUCCUCUGUCCAUUUCUUUUUAAAAUCUAAGGUGGUUGCUUCGACCCAGCAAUACCACUACUAGGUCUGUAUCCCCAAGUGAUCAUACAAAAGGGAAAAGGCCCCACAUGGACAAAAAUAUUCAU